UGUUCCACUUCCAAAUGUGAAAUACUUAAAUUUUAUAAACUCCAAUCUUGAUGUGAACAAGAAUAUUCUUGUGAUUGCAACUGAUGUUCGAUAUCGUCCAUAACCAGCGGACACUCUCAGCCGAGACUUUGAUGGGAAAGACAACCGGGCAUACAGACGACUUUGAUUACCUAAAAUUAUCUGGCCAUUUAUUAAGAUGAGAUUGUGUAUAAGUCCGCUGUUUCAAUUUUCAGCAUUUUUUCAAAUAUAAAUUUCUAGCUUGAUGGCUUCUAAUCUGGUAUAUUGCAAAAAAUAACUAUUGGUAAAUUCUAUAUGCUGAAGCUUUUUUGCUUAUUUCCAAAAGCAAAAAGAGAUUAAAUCUCUGAAAUCUUCCUGCAAACAUAAAGCAAUGAUCAGCAAACUAAGAGGAACCAAGCCUUUCCUCGAACACGUGAUAGCAAACAUUAAGCUUUACUGCUUUUCAUCAGCACCUUUUUUUGAAAAGGGAUUUGUGAGAAACAUUUUGGUGUUUUGUAACAGUUUUCAUUUAAGCUUGCCAAUUUGCCCAUAAAGCGCAAAUUCUUCAGUAUAUCUGUGCAUGGAUAUUUGUUAUACCUAAUUGGUCGUGAAACAAAUUCCACAAACUCUC